rnacentral:sRNA from 1 species
AGAUUGUCAUCUCCAGCUGGGAGGUGAUGGCCAUGCCUGCACCCCUCUGGCCAGCAGAGGGUGGUCAGUAGGAAACUGGGAGGCCAUUAGGGCAACCUUCUAUUGGCCCAGUCUCAGAAUGCAGUAGAACUUGUGCCCUGUAGUAUUCAUGGACAGGAGUGAGAGGAGGACAGGACUGAGGGGAUGUGGCUGUCAAGGCCUUCCUAGGGGCGAUGCUGUCUCUCCCUCAGCAUAGGGAGUGGGUCCCUUCCACCUCUGGCCUCUCUCCCCCAGGGCUGUGUCUGGCUGUCCCUGAUAAAACUGUGAGAUGGUGUGCAGUGUCGGAGCAUGAGGCCACUAAGUGCCAGAGUUUCCGCGACCAUAUGAAAAGCGUCAUUCCAUCCGAUGGUCCCAGUGUUGCUUGUGUGAAGAAAGCCUCCUACCUUGAUUGCAUCAGGGCCAUUGCGGCAAACGAAGCGGAUGCUGUGACACUGGAUGCAGGUUUGGUGUAUGACGCUUACCUGGCUCCCAAUAACCUGAAGCCUGUGGUGGCAGAGUUCUACGGGUCAAAAGAGGAUCCACAGACUUUCUAUUAUGCUGUUGCUGUGGUGAAGAAGGACAGUGGCUUCCAGAUGAACCAGCUUCGAGGCAAGAAGUCCUGCCACACGGGUCUAGGCAGGUCCGCUGGGUGGAACAUCCCCAUAGGCUUACUUUACUGUGACUUACCUGAGCCACGUAAAC